AAAUUCAAUUUGCGACGCGUCAAUCUUAUCAUUGUGAUUAAAAUCAUCGCAGUGUAAACGCGUGAAAUCAUGGAAAGAAAAGUGUUCCUUCUCUUUGUGCUGCUGCAGUUAAUAAUGAUAACUGCAGCGGAGUUUUCCGAGAAAAAGUCCGACUUUGCAGCUCCUCGAGAAAUUUCAGGGAAAUUAAUAAUACCUCGCAAGGAGAAAGAUUCGGGAAUACGCUGCUUAUUAUGUGAUGUUCCGUGCCAACCUGGAUAUGCAAGAGACAGCAAAGGAAGAUGCAGGAAAAUUGUUUAAUAUUCAAGAUCUUUCGCGUGCAUCAGCUUUCAGUACGGAGCAAUACAACCAAGUUCAACCAUUUGAAAUUCAUGUAAUGAAAUCUUGGAGCACUUUUGUAGAUAAAAUAGCGCAUUUCUCAGACCGUAUGAAUCACAUUUGUGAUGCGUCUCAUGCAUUGAGAUUACGCGAUCUGAUGCAAAAGUGCAAUUUAAUGAGAAAGCAAUAAAAAAAAUACAUUUUUACGUUCACAA